AUUUUUGUAGAUGGUGCGGACUUCUCCUCAA
rnacentral:piRNA from 1 species